rnacentral:lncRNA from 1 species
AUGAUUCCACAGUGCUUGCUGCUGCCCACCAGAUAUCCUGAGCGUCAUUUGAUCCUUAAGAACUCCAAAAAGGUUGAGGCUUUCAAUGAGAGAGGAGUAAUCCAUUUAUGCAGUUGUUUGGAGGCUGGAGGCCAAGCAUGUGGGAAAUAUUUCUUUGGGUUUGACCCAAGGAGCAGAUGGAAACAGGCACAAGGCACAAGGGGACUCUUCUGGCUAGUCAGUGGAUACUUGUCAGUUUCCUGCUUCCAGUCUCAAGCUUCAUCUUUCUCCCCUGUGACACCAUGUCUUUAGUCUGCCUGUCUCCUGAGGAGAGCUGGGCUGUGACAGAAGACUAGGAUGAAUCAUGCAAACCUCAGAAUGGCGUGCUGCUGGUUAGGGAGUGCCCUCAACUUGGGCUGCUUGGUUAGUGUUUGAGGUGUGGUGCUGAAUAAAAUCUUGUGCCACACACCCUGCCCUAAUA